rnacentral:rRNA from 1 species
GAUGAACGCUGGCGGCGUGCCUAAUACAUGCAAGUCGAGCGAACAGACGAGGAGCUUGCUCCUCUGACGUUAGCGGCGGACGGGUGAGUAUCACGUGGAUAACCUACCUAUAGGACUGGGAUAACCUCGGGAAACCGGAGCUAAUACCGGAUAAUAUAUUGAACCGCAUGGUUCAAUAGUGAAAGACGGUUUUGCUGUCACUUAUAGAUGGAUCCGCGCCGCAUUAGCUAGUUGGUAAGGUAACGGCUUACCAAGGCAACGAUGCGUAGCCGACCUGAGAGGGUGAUCGGCCACACUGGAACUGAGACACGGUCCAGACUCCUGCGGGAGGCAGCAGUAGGGAAUCUUCCGCAAUGGGCGAAAGCCUGACGGAGCAACGCCGCGUGAGUGAUGAAGGUCUUCGGAUCGUAAAACUCUGUUAUUAGGGAAGAACAAAUGUGUAAGUAACUAUGCACGUCUUGACGGUACCUAAUCAGAAAGCCACGGCUAACUACGUG